GUAGUCCACGCCGUAAACGAUGUCGAUUUGGAGGUUGUGCCCUUGAGGCGUGGCUUCCGGAGCUAACGCGUUAAAUCGACCGCCUGGGGAGUACGGCCGCAAGGUUAAAACUCAAAUGAAUUGACGGGGGCCCGCACAAGCGGUGGAGCAUGUGGUUUAAUUCGAUGCAACGCGAAGAACCUUACCUGGUCUUGACAUCCACAGAACCUGGCAGAGAUGCCGGGGUGCCUUCGGGAACUGUGAGACAGGUGCUGCAUGGCUGUCGUCAGCUCGUGUUGUGAAAUGUUGGGUUAAGUCCCGCAACGAGCGCAACCCUUAUCCUUUGUUGCCAGCGGUUAGGCCGGGAACUCAAAGGAGACUGCCAGUGAUAAACUGGAGGAAGGUGGGGAUGACGUCAAGUCAUCAUGGCCCUUACGACCAGGGCUACACACGUGCUACAAUGGCGCAUACAAAGAGAAGCGACCUCGCGAGAGCAAGCGGACCUCAUAAAGUGCGUCGUAGUCCGGAUUGGAGUCUGCAACUCGACUCCAUGAAGUCGGAAUCGCUAGUAAUCGUGAAUCAGAAUGUCACGGUGAAUACGUUCCCGGGCCUUGUACACACCGCCCGUCACACCAUGGGAGUGGGUUGCAAAAGAAGUAGGUAGCUU
rnacentral:rRNA from 1 species